CUGGGCUCAGGGGGACCGCUUUGGAGGGGAUGGCCGCGCCCUCUCUACCGCUUGCCUCAGGCGCAUCGCUGUGCAACAGGCAGGACUUCCCGCCACAUUCGCCUACUCCACGGGGAGGCGGCAUUGCCCCGCCUGACCCGGAAGUCUGCGGCCUCCCCAUUGGCUCAGGAAGAGCAGGAGUUGGGGGGCAAGCGAGUGGGCGAGAGCCUGAACCCCUGGACCCACCUCCAGGCUCACUCACCACCACAUAAUCCUCCAUCGUAGUGUCCAGCAGCUCAAGGGAACUGAAGAAUGUCACCAGGGAGGGGACAACACCCUGUGCCGCCAUCGGGAUGGGCAUGGUGAUGAGCUCCCAAUCUCAGGAAAGAGUGAGGAGAACUCCACCUGCCUCCAGCGCUCUCCUAGGACUUCCUGUCAUCUGACUGUCAUCACUGCUCUCCCCUCAGCUCUCGAGGAGGAGCCAGCACAAAUCUCCUCCCAUUCCUGUCAUCCCUUGGACGGUAUCACCCCACCGUGAGGCCUGCACCACGUCAUCUCCCUCCAUUUCCCAGAGGAGGAGACCGAGGCCCACAGAGGGGCAGAGACUUGCUCAAGGACCCACUGAGGAGAGGCCACUCUCCGUCCCAGCCAGAGUCCCUGUCCCCACUGCCUUCACCCCUCGCCCUGCCCCACCACUGACCACGGUCCUGACCUCUGCACUCCCAGAGUGUGUCCCAACAAUAGCCAAACUGAGAUGUGGAGGGAGAGGGCAGAGGGUGUUGGUGGUGGCCGUGUGGCAUCUCCUUCCUGCCCCAUCCACAGGGGUCUCUGAACCCCAGGAUGGCCUUACCAUAGCCUCAGUUCCUAGGAUGCCCUCAGGAUGUUCCCGGCUCCCUCACACACCCCUCCUCCCAGAUCUCCAGCCCCAGGUUACCUUCAGGAGCAGUCUCAUGCUCACGUGCUGCUCUCCCCUGCACCACUUCUUAAAGGUGUAGGAUCUCUCCCUGGGGGAGUGGGGAAAGAAAGAAAGAAAGACUAUGGGAUGGUUGAAGGGCAAAUCCCAUUUGUUUUAGAUCCCAAAAGAUCCAAACAGCCUGGGGCCUGGAUGAGGGAUUUCACUGGGUUGCUCUGAGCCCCGAGGUCCCCAUGGGACUGGGGAGGGGCCUCUCCUGUUGUCACCUGGGGCCUCCAUUCCCAUAUCUACCACACAGAUCUGUUUUGAACACUCUUGGUUUCAGUUGGAUGGAGAUUUCUGUUGCUGCAAAGGAAAAACACUUGAGAAUCUCCAACUGGGCUCAAGUCAGGAUCUGAUAUUGAAGGAAAUGAGUUCCUGGGCAGAACCGCUGGCCUAAGGGCCCUGAGAGGCUCAGAGACCCAGGAACUGGAUCAGUCUGUGUCCCAGGCAUUCACUGUCUCCCAGGUGGUCUCAGCUGACUGCGGGGGCCAUGGCGACCCAUUGCCGGCUGCCAGGUCCACCUCCCCCUCGUGGUGCUUGGAUAGAGAGCAGCCUACCCACCUGGAUACUUGUCCCCAGGUGUCUUUGAGACGCUUAAUGGCAGGGCUCUGCAGAGCAGAAAGGAUCAUGUGU
rnacentral:lncRNA from 1 species